AGUGAACGCUGGCGGCAGGCCUAACACAUGCAAGUCGAGCGGCAGCGCGGGGGCAACCCUGGCGGCGAGCGGCGGACGGGUGAGGAAUUUGUCGGAAUCUGCCUUUUUGUGGGGGAUAACGUAGGGAAACUUACGCUAAUACCGCAUACGUCCUACGGGAGAAAGUGGGGGACCGCAAGGCCUCACGCAGAAAGAUGAGCCGACGACCGAUUAGCUAGUUGGUGGGGUAAAGGCCCACCAAGGCGACGAUCGGUAGCUGGUCUGAGAGGAUGAUCAGCCACACUGGGACUGAGACACGGCCCAGACUCCUACGGGAGGCAGCAGUGGGGAAUAUUGGACAAUGGGCGCAAGCCUGAUCCAGCCAUGCCGCGUGUGUGAAGAAGGCCUUCGGGUUGUAAAGCACUUUUGUCCGGAAAGAAAUCCCUGGAGCUAAUACCUUCGGGGGAUGACGGUACCGGAAGAAUAAGCACCGGCUAACUUCGUG
rnacentral:rRNA from 1 species